AUUGAACGCUGGCGGCAUGCCUAACACAUGCAAGUCGAACGGCAGCACAGUUUGUAGCAAUACAAAUGGGUGGCGAGUGGCGGACGGGUGAGUAAUACGUAGGGAUCUGCCUUUUAGAGGGGGAUAACCCGGGGAAACUCGGGCUAAUACCACAUGAUCUCGAGAGAGCAAAGGGAGGGGAUCCGUAAGGACCUUUCGCUGAAAGAUGAACCUACGUCGGAUUAGCUAGUUGGUAGGGUAAAGGCCUACCAAGGCAACGAUCCGUAGCUGGUCUAAGAGGACGGACAGCCACACUGGGACUGAGACACGGCCCAGACUCCUACGGGAGGCAGCAGUGGGGAAUAUUGGACAAUGGGGGCGAACCCUGAUCCAGCGAUGCCGCGUGUGUGAAGAAGGCCUGCGGGUUGUAAAGCACUUUAGGUGGGGAGGAAAGGUGAAUUUCUAAUAAGAGUUCACUCUGACGUUACCCACAGAAUAAGCACCGGCUAACUCUGUGCCAGCAGCCGCGGUAA
rnacentral:rRNA from 1 species